rnacentral:misc_RNA from 1 species
GUGUCCACACAGAUUGUCUGAUGAAGAAGAUGAGCAGUAAAACCUUAUAGGCUUGUAGCUCAGGUGGUUAGAGCGCACCCCUGAUAAGGGUGAGGUCGGUGGUUCAAGUCCACUCAGGCCUACCAAAUUUCUCCUGAUACUGCGUUGUGAAAUCACUCGCAUACUGAUGUAUGCGUCGUUAUUCCACGCCUUGUCUCAGAAGCAAUUACGGGUAAAGGUUUACGUGUUGCAUUCUAUGGGGCUAUAGCUCAGCUGGGAGAGCGCCUGCUUUGCACGCAGGAGGUCUGCGGUUCGAUCCCGCAUAGCUCCACCAUUUACGAAUGACUUCAGAGUGUACUGGCAACAGUAUGCUGCGAAGUAUUCUGCUCUUUAACAAUCCGGAACAAGCUGAAAAAUUUGAAACGACAGCAUGUGAAUGAGAAUUCAUGUGUUGUUCGAGUCUCUCAAAAUACUCGCAUCCCGAGACACUUUCGGGUUGUGAGGUUAAGCGACUAAGCGUACACGGUGGAUGCCUAGGCAGUCAGAGGCGAUGAAGGGCGUGCUAAUCUGCGAAAAGCGUCGG